UACGGAGGGUGCAAGCGUUAUCCGGAUUCACUGGGUUUAAAGGGUGCGUAGGCGGGUAUAUAAGUCAGUGGUGAAAGCUCCGAGCUUAACUUGGAACUGCCAUUGAUACUGUAUAUCUUGAAUAUCGUAGAGGUUAGCGGAAUGUUGCAUGUAGCGGUGAAAUGCUUAGAUAUGUUACAGAACACCAAUUGCGAAGGCAGCUAACUAUGCGAUGAUUGACGCUGAGGCACGAAAGCGUGGGGAGCAAACAGG
rnacentral:rRNA from 1 species